CUAAACUAAAGUAAACAGAGAAGUAAUUAAGAAAACAAAAGCAAAAGAUAGAAAUAAGAAUCCUGUAAGGUAGUGUCAUGCUCAAGAUUGCUAUCCUAUAUUAUUAAAACAUGGUUGUUAAGCAAAAUCUUUGGCCUCUAAGCUGACAAACACUUCAGGAAUGUGCAAUCCAUGGGAAGAAAAGGAAGAGAGAGAGGACACAGAAACUAACUUUAAAGAAGUUCAGAGAGUUGACUUAGGUUUUUAUUUUCAGACCACUUAGUUUGAAUAUGCUUGAAGAGCAAAGGACAUGAUAUUUUGUAACUUAAAGGAAGACAUGAGACAAUAUUUAUCGAUCACUGAGUACCUGUGGCUACAAGAUAACUGAAAGGAAUAAUUCGAUAACCGGUCUCAGGCAUUAGUCUGUGAAAGACAGAAAAAUUAGUGAAUGUGAAGGGGGAACAAUAUUCUAUGUUCCUGUAACACUUCAUCUAUAUUUGAUGUCCUAGAAAGUUAUUUCCUUGUCAAUUAGUUGGUCAUUUAAUUUUUUUCUCUUCUUUCAUAUAUAAGAAUUACUCUCUUACUCUCCAGGGACACACAAAAACAUUCAACACAAAGGACAAAAAGCAUGUGGAGGAGCUGUGCAAAAAUCAUAUAAAACAUCAUUAAACUUGAGCUAAAAGGUCUGGGCCUCUUACUCCAUUGGGGUCUACAUCGUUUCUGCUCAGUGUCUCCACAGAGCAGAGAGAGAAGAGAGCAAUUUCCUGUUUGUUCAUGCUUAUAUACUGUUACUGCCUACAUCAUCAUUUCCUGGUUGGAUCACAUGGAGACUUCUCUUUACUACAUGUCCCAGGAUUCUCCUUGCCUCCUAGUCCCACCUAGCUUGCUUCACUAUUGGCCAACAAUGCUGUAUUCAACAAGCAAUAAGAUAAACAUAUGUACAGAAGAUUUCUCCCAUCAGAGAAGUUAUGUAUCCAUUCUAAAUUUUUGUCUAAGAAACUGAAGUUUUAACUUUACUGAAUCUGAAAAAAACUUUAUUGAGAGUAUAGAAAUUUUUGCUAGAAUAUAGACCUGCAUUCUUUAAAGAGCCUCUGUGAACGGAAAAGAAAAAUGGGAAAAUUAUAGGACUAAAGCAAGUUAAAAUAAGAUAAAUUGCAAUUUGUAAUUUGGUUGACACAAAGAAGUAUAAAAAUGUUUAAAUAUUAACUGAAUUAAAAGUAACCCUUCAUCCAGUGGCUGAUGGAAGCAGAGGCAGACACCCACAGCUAUACACUGAACUGAACUCAGGAACCCAUUUUCAGAGAGGGAGGAGUGAUGAGCAAAGAGGUGAAGUCUGGGCUGGUGAAACCCACAGAAACAGCUGAUCUGAUCAAGGGGGAGCACAUGGACCCCAGACUGAUGGCUGGGAGACCAGCAUGGGACUGAUCCAGAUCCCUGAACAUGGAUGUCAGUGAGGAGGCCUUGGCACUCUAUGUAGUAGAUAAUUAUUUAUCUAUGAUAUACGAAAGAAUUUUGGAAGCCCAUCCCACAUGGAAGGAUGCUCUCUCAUCCUGACACAUGGCGAGGGACUAAGCCCUACCCAGGAUGAUAUGACAGACUUCGGGGAUCACCCAUGGAGGGCCUUACCUUCCCUGGGGACCAGAGGUGAGAUGGUGUGGGGGAUUGUUGCGGGGAAGGGAGAAGGGAACAAGGAUUGACAUGUAAAGCAGGCUUGUUUCUAAUUUGUACUAAUAAAAAGUAAAUAAAUUAAUUUUUUAAAAAGUAACACUAUCAGUGUUUGUAAGUAGGCAAUAAAUACAUCUUAU
rnacentral:lncRNA from 1 species